rnacentral:rRNA from 1 species
GUGAGCGCGAUGAGUAGGGCGGGACACGUGGUAUCCUGUCUGAAUAUGGGGGGACCAUCCUCCAAGGCUAAAUACUCCUGACUGACCGAUAGUGAACCAGUACCGUGAGGGAAAGGCGAAAAGAACCCCGGCGAGGGGAGUGAAAAAGAACCUGAAACCGUGUACGUACAAGCAGUGGGAGCACGCUAAGGCGUGUGACUGCGUACCUUUUUAUA